GGAAAAGGUAACAAGGGAAUCUGUAAAUAUAUUUUUAAAUAGGCUAUGAAGUCAGCAGAGAGAUGUAUCUGGAGUGCUGACUCAGUCACCCACACACCCCUGAUUCACUGGAAAUCCAGAUUCAGCUGCCUGCCUGGUCGAGAGGUCUCCUGAGCGCUCUGCGAGCACACUGCAGGCCAAGGGCUCAGGCUGGACUGGAGGGACACCUGGCUGUGGGUGGUGGGAGCCUGGGUGGUACGCAUGGUCUCUGCAGCUAAAUCCGAUGGCACUGACUGAUGCAGAGAGGGUGAGCUGCAAAGGCCCAGGUUCAUCUUCAGAGCUCCCAGGCAGGAAGUGUGAGCUCCCAGGCAGGAAGGGUGAGCUCCCAGUUAGGAAGGGUGAGCUAUCAGCCAGGAGUGGCUGCACUACAGGCUAACUCUAGACCAGGACCCACAGCCCAGCCUGCUGCAGUAGCUCUCGGCACAUGGGGUGUCAGACCAGGAGGUGUGAGGAGGUGACAGUGUGGCACACUCACCACUGAAAGGAUCAUGGUUUUUAGAUAGUUCAGUAGCACUUGCUCACACUUGGUGUUCUGACCCGGCAUGGCUACAUCAUAUCCCACCAAGUGAGGCUGGGGUAGAGUGAGCACUCAUCACAGUCAGCAGUUGGCAGAGUUCACUAGUCAUGGUAUCCUUCACAUACUUGGUCGCUGGGCCAUCUAUUCACAAGUGUAAACCAGUGCACAGCUUUAUCCCACACUUCAUGGUUUCUUAGGAACUCUGGGCACUCGUGGGUGUUGGGCUGAGGACCUGGUCCUUCAGGUGCCAUCCAGGAGUGGCUAUGUACCCGGGACCAUUCUCUUGAGUUUAGUGAGCACCAAGUUUGCUCCAUCGUCACUGUCGCCUUGCCUUGAGACUCCAUCAGCUCACAUGAACAAGGAAGAGUAACAUGAGUGCGGCAUGUGACUGCUUGUCCCCUCCGUGAGCUAACGUUCAAGGCUCUUCAGACCCUCACACUUCCUAGUCAGGGUCACCAGAAGGCACUAUAGAAGGGCCCUGAGGGGCUGUAAGGCAGUGUUCAUGCUUGCCCGGGGCUGGCCCAUUGUCCUUCACAAGGCAGUGUCUAGCUUAGAAAGGGAGUUUAGAUGUUAAUAGAUUAAGGAACUUAACUUACAGAUGCCUUACAAAACAGUUCUGUGAUGAUUCUGCAAACAAGACAUGAACAGAGAUCAGGC
rnacentral:lncRNA from 1 species